CAGGGAGACACGGAAAGCGCUGGGAAGAAGGAGGCAGAGACAAGGCAGCCAACGAUCGCGUGGACCUCUCACAGCUUUUAGCAAGCCUAUUUUUGCAUUGUGAAUCUCCAAGAGGGGAUGCCGUAUACAGCCCUUCCAAAAAGCAUUUGACCACAGAGCACUCCUUCAUUAGCGGAAUCGGACACUGCUCACCUCUGUCAAAGAUCCAGGCCAUUUUCUCCCUACCCCAUGAGUCAGCUCCUUGCUCCAGCCUGUGGCCUCUCCGGUGGCAGGCCACUAUCUACAGGGAAUAAAUAGAGCUCCUCAGUCCAUCACAGUGAGGAACCUCGGACUGAUUCCUCUUACUCUCUAAUUCAUCCAAGGGAGGAGGAAGGAGACGCCUCACUUAGCGAACAAUCUCAUUUGGAGGGACUCUGUUUUAGCAACAGGAAGCAAAUCACAUUAGAGAAAUCAUCACCCUCCUGUAGCUCCAAACUGAAACUGAUCUCCUUCUUGACCUUUUGUCUGGAACAUACACUCUGUGGAAAAUGUGGUUCAAGGAGGGAGGGUGUAGGGCUCUGUGUGUGUGUGUCUGGUAUGUUUUCAUGAUUAAAAUAAGUUUUCUAUGUGGCUUUUUUAAUUAAAAACCUUAAAGUUUUAUAUCAUCUCCUAAUGGUAUAUCUCCAGGGGUUUUCUUUCUCUUACUU
rnacentral:lncRNA from 1 species